GUGAACAGUUCCAGGAAGUAGUAGUACAUUGAAACAGGAAUAUUGUUGGAUAAAAAAACUUUGAAUAACAAAUUGAAUAACAUUUUUUUAGCAAAUAUUUUCAAACAAGUCCAAUAAACCAAAAUAAUCCCAAAGGAUAAAUGAUGAAAAUAUCUACCUGCAGAGAAAGAACUGAUCUUGAUUGAAUAUAGACUGAAGCAUGGUCUUUUUCAGUUUUUCUUUCUUUCAUUUUUUUUUCUUUUAUUUUAGUCUUAUCUAAAAUGACUAAAAUGGAAAUAGUUUACAUUAUUGCGCAAGUGUAAUUUGAAUCUGAUCGCUUACUAUUUCAGGAAGAAGGGGAAGGAAAGAAGUGAGGAAGUGAUAGGAUUUCAAACUCAAAACUUUAGCUAAAAUUCAUUUUUAAAAUAAUAUAUUUUGCUUUAUCUAACAAUGUUUCUUUCCCACAGUUAAAAAAUAUCGAAGAGGGGAGACAAUAUAUCCAAUAUGCCCUAAGGACAAAGCUGUUUAGCACAAGAGAUAUUCUGGGGGCGAUAGAAAAAGAGAGAAAAACAUUAAAGGACUCAAAAGUAACAUCUGGUGUCCCGAGUGCUCUUUGGCGAGGAGAGCAGCUGCAGGAAGCUGUUUCGGAGACAUCUAAGGACCAGGAGGAUGCAACAUCUAGUACCACACUAACAUCUGGUGUCCCGAGUGCUCUUUGGCGAGGACGGCAGCUGAAGGGAGCUACUUCGGGGACGUCCAAGGACCGGAAGGAUGGUAAAAUGUCUAAUUGAGACCCUCUUGGUGAGUAGAGGGACCCUUACAAGUGGAGGCCCAAAUAGGGACAUUCUGCUGGACAGAGCUUCCUGGGAGGAAGUUUCCACAGCCCUACAAAUUGAAAAAAAUUUGUGGGAGGUCGGAAGAGAUUAGACAGAUGGGACCAUUAAUGUCGGUUCUAUCAUAAAACCCAGAGAUAGUGAAGUUUAUGCAUGACAAAUUUAUAACUUAGGGGGCAGGGGAUGCAAGCAAAUAGAAACCUUUAUAGACAAUUUGUAGAGAAACUUUGGACAUCUUCUCCUUGGUUAGAACAUACAGGACUAGAUUUAAAAGCAGGGACAGUGGUGGGCUCGCAAAAGCUUUUUAUGUCCUUUACAAUCUAAUCAAAACAGCCCUCCCCGGAGGCUCUAUGCUUCCGCUCAUCUUAGUGAGUGAGGAAGCGCAGACUGGUAAUUCUUUGCUCGGUGAUGAAGAGCCACGCUCGAGUAAGAAUAGCAGCCAAAAAAGCGAAAGUACAGGGAAGCCUCUGCCCCUGCUGGUGGCUCCGCCUUCUUCCACGGAAUCUCGAGUCCCUGGCAUGGAACGCUUACCUAUCACCCAUUAAAUCUGUCUUUGGGCCGUUUUAAAAAUAAAAAAGCAGAGGCGGUGGAAACGGCAGGGGUAGACGAAUUGCGGCCCCCACCUAGUGAGUGACAAAACAAAAACCGAGCAGACCACACCCCCAGAAGAGAAAGAAACCAUGAAGUUGUUGUGUGUAAAAGAAUUGAAGCAGUGAAACAGGGUAAAAGAAAUAAAGCUUAUAAAUAGUCCAAGAGCUCCAUCUAGUGGUGAAUGUACCAAAGUGGCAAGGUUAUUAUUAGAAAGUAAAAAAAAAGGGUGGAGGAGGUCUCUGGAGCUCCUAUUCCUUUUUGCUCUCUUACCAACGAUAAGUUACCAAAGGUUGCCCAAUUAUAUCAACAACUUGACAUAACUAUCUCUCCUCAUGUGAUUAGUGUAACUCCUGUUGAUGGCCCUAAUAUUUUUACGGAUGCUACAAAAGAUCACAGAGCUAGUUUUUAUAUACCUUCAGUGAAACCUUGGCGUGUAUUAUCUACUCCUUAUGGCUCUACCCAGAAAAAUGAAUUCUAUGUUAUUUUAUAUGUAUUACAACAAAUCUCCCCACAUUUUGAUAUUAUUACAGAUAGUCAGUAUGCUUAUUUAGUGGUAAAGAAUUUACAGAGAUAAGUAAAGAAAUGUUUGAAAUGUAUUCCUUUUGCCCCUCAUAAAUGUGAUCCUACUUACAAUCCAAAAGGAGAUAAGCCUAAUGAUACCUGGCAAAUGGAUGUUACUCACUGGAGAACACAGUGUGUUCAUGUAACUGUAGCACUCACUCUAAUUUUAUAGUAGCUACUCUUCAACCUGGAGAGGCACUUAAACAUGUUAUUUCUCACUUAUAUCCUUGUUUUGCUUCUAUUGGUGUGCCUCAGCAGAUGAAGAUGGAUAAUGGAUCUUCCUACUCCUCAAAAGGUUUUCAGUCCUUCUGUUCUGAAUUGGGCAUCAUUCAUGUGACAGAUAUUCCUUAUAACCCCACAGGUCAGGCCCUAGUUGAAUGAGCUAAUAGGACCCUUAAAACACUCCUUGUAACAAGAAAAGGGAGUGUCAUGGAGUAGGCUAAAAGGUCACUUAACCCAAAGUAUGUUAGACAAAGCAGUAUUUACAUACAAUUAUUUAUAAUUUUCUGCCAAUGAACUAACGCCAGCCAUUCGUUUUUGGCAUACAUUUGAAAGGACACAGUCUAUCACAGAAGUACAACAUCAACAACUACAAAAAGGAUAAAUUAAUAGAUUAUUAUGGAAAACAAAGGAAGGAAAUUGGGCAGGUCCAGGGACAGUCGAGGUGUGUGGUUCCGGGGUGUGCUCUUAUUGUUGCAGAUGAAAAUGGACGUGAGCCGUGGGUGCUGACCACAAGGAUCUGCGGCAUCAAAGAGAUCAUAUAGAAAAAGAGGAGAAGGCAGAAAGAGCUGCAGAAAAGAAGCUGCCAGGACCAGAGAUGGAAAUGGAGAGGAGAACUGUAAUCUCUAUUGGGAUUGUUAUCUCUUAUGAGCCUCAACACAGGAGCCACAGCAACAAGAAAGUCGAGUAACUUUGUGGCACCAGCACAACACCUGGCUGAUCAAAAGGGACAAUGGAGUUAUACCUGGAACACUGGUGGUGCAUAUGGUAGGAUGGGGACAGCAAACAUCUGAUUUUCAUGUAUGUGGCCAUGUGUCACAGUUAACGGGACAUUAUAGUACUGAUACACCCCAGGCAAAGAUGAUGGACACUUAUAUAAAUAAAGUCACUUUUAUUAUUUA